rnacentral:ncRNA from 1 species
AAAGGUUUGGUCCUAGCCUUGAAGUCAGUUAUAAAUUAAUAUACACAUGCAAGUCUCCGCCCCCCUGUGAGAACGCCCUUAAAUUCCUCAUAGGAAUUAGGAGCCGGUAUCAGGAACAAUAAAUGCCCAAAACACCUAGCCUCGCCACACCCACAAGGGACUUCAGCAGUGAUUAACAUUGAUCAUAAGCGACAGCUUGACUCAGUUAAAUUUAUUAGAGCCGGCCAAUUUGGUGCCAGCCGCCGCGGUUACACCAGAAGCUCAAACUGACCUCUUUCGGCGUAAAGCGUGAUUAAAGGAAACCCCCACCUGGAAUUAAAUUAAAACUGAACUGUGAUACGCCUGUUGUUAAAGAAACCCAAUAAACGAAAGUUAUUCCAAUCAAACCCACUUGAACUCACGACACCUGAGACACAAACUGGGAUUAGAUACCCCACUAUGCUCAGUCGUAAACUUUUACUUACACCACACUCGCCUGGGAACUACGAGCUAAGCUUAAAACCCAAAGGACUUGACGGUACCCCACAUCCCCCUAGAGGAGCCUGUCCUAUAAUCGAUAAUCCACGUUUAACCUCACCAUUUUUAGCUUACUCAGCCUGUAUACCUCCGUCGUCAGCUUACCACGUGAGCGUCAGUGAGCUCAAUGUCCACCCAACAACACGUCAGGUCAAGGUGCAGCUUAUAAAAUGGGAAGAGAUGGGCUACACUUUCUAUAAUAGAUCAUACGAAAAACUACUCAUGAAACCAGUCAGAAGGCGGAUUUAGCAGUAAACAGGAACUAUAGAGUCCUUUUUAACACGGCACUGGGGUGUGUACACACCGCCCGUCACCCUCCUCUUAUACUAAAAAUAGUUUUUAACCAAAUUCAGCCAAUCAGAAGAGGUAAGUCGUAACAUGGUAAGUAUACCGGAAGGUGUGCUUGGAAUUAG